rnacentral:misc_RNA from 1 species
GCAAACUUGGUCAUUUAGAGGAAGUACAAGUCGUAACAAGGUUUCCGUAGGUGAACCUGCGGAAGGAUCAUUAGCAAAUCGAGUUGGGUUAGGGAUGCCAUAUAAAUUUUAUUUGAUAUAGAUUUAUAGGCAGCAAACAUUUGCACCCCUAACACAUUUGUGCUCCAGAAUACUUUCUGGUUGCAUUAUAUCAUCAUCAUUAUUAUAUAUUCAUGAUAUUUGUAUUAUUGUCAAUUUUUAUUUCCAAAUCACAAAUAUACAAUACACUUUUAACAAUGGAUCUCUUGGCUCUUGCAUCGAUGAAGAACGCAGC